UAUUUUAAAGAGAGUUUGAUCCUGGCUCAGGACGAACGCUGGCGGCGUGCCUAAUACAUGCAAGUCGAACGAACGGAGGAAGAGCUUGCUCUUCCAAAGUUAGUGGCGGACGGGGGAGUAACACGUGGGCAACCUGCCACUAACUUUGGAA
rnacentral:rRNA from 1 species